rnacentral:rRNA from 1 species
AGAGUUUGAUCCUGGCUCAGGAUGAACUCUGGCGGCGUGCUUAACACAUGCAAGUCGAACGGACUUAAUGGAGAGCUUGCUCGAAAUUAAGUUAGUGGCGGACGGGUGAGUAACGCGUGGGUAACCUGCCUUGUACUGGGGGACAACAGUUGGAAACGACUGCUAAUACCGCAUAAGCGCACGGAGCUGCAUGGCUCUGUGUGAAAAACUCAGGUGGUACAAGAUGGACCCGCGUCUGAUUAGCUAGUUGGUGAGGUAACGGCCCACCAAGGCGACGAUCAGUAGCCGGCCUGAGAGGGUGAACGGCCACAUUGGGACUGAGACACGGCCCAAACUCCUACGGGAGGCAGCAGUGGGGAAUAUUGCACAAUGGGGGAAACCCUGAUGCAGCGACGCCGCGUGAGUGAAGAAGUAUUUCGGUAUGUAAAGCUCUAUCAGCAGGGAAGAAAAUGACGGUACCUGACUAAGAAGCCCCGGCUAAAUACGUGCCAGCAGCCGCGGUAAUACGUAUGGUGCAAGCGUUAUCCGGAUUUUACUGGGUGUAAAGGGAGCGCAGACGGCAUGGCAAGCCAGAUGUGAAAUGCGGGGGCUCAACUCCUGAACUGCAUUUGGAACUGUCAAGCUAGAGUAUCGGAGAGGUAAGUGGAAUUCCUAGUGUAGCGGUGAAAUGCGUAGAUAUUAGGAGGAACACCAGUGGCGAAGGCGGCUUACUGGACGAUAACUGACGUUGAGGCUCGAAAGCGUGGGGAGCAAACAGGAUUAGAUACCCUGGUAGUCCACGCCGUAAACGAUGAAUACUAGGUGUCGGGUACUAUGAGUAUUCGGUGCCGCAGCAAACGCAAUAAGUAUUCCACCUGGGGAGUACGCCGGCAACGGUGAAACUCAAAGGAAUUGACGGGGGCCCGCACAAGCGGAGGAACAUGUGGUUUAAUUCGAUGAUACGCGAGGAACCUUACCCGGGCUUGAAUUGCAGAGGGAUGUGGCAGAGAUGCCCCAGUCAGCAAUGACCUCUGUGAAGGUGCUGCAUGGUUGUCGUCAGCUCGUGCCGUGAGGUGUCGGCUUAAGUGCCAUAACGAGCGCAACCCUUGUCCACAGUUGCCAUCAGGUAGUGCUGGGCACUCUGUGGAGACUGCCAUCGCAAGAUGUGAGGAAGGUGGGGAUGACGUCAAAUCAGCACGGCCCUUACGUCCGGGGCUACACACGUGUUACAAUGGGGGGCACAGCGCGUUGCUACCGGGUGACCGGCUGCGGAUCGUGAAAUCCCCUCUCAGUUCGGACUGGAGUCUGCAACCCGACUCCACGAAGCUGGAUUCGCUAGUAAUCGCGCAUCAGCCAUGGCGCGGUGAAUACGUUCCCGGGCCUUGCACUCACCGCCCGUCA